rnacentral:lncRNA from 1 species
UGUAAGUCCAUUGAUUGGCAUCUGGUAUCAUUGCUUCUUUUGUUUUAGGAGAUUGGUGUAAAUCCAUUGAUUGGUAUCCGAUAUCCAUGUUUGUUUGUGAGAUUGGUGUAAGUUCAUUGAUUGGCAUCCGGUAUCCCUUUUUCAUUUGCUUAGUUGCAUUGUUGCCUUAUUCCAAAGGAAUCACUUGAAUCAUCUACAUAUGAUUUCAAGAGGUGAACAUCUAAGAAGUUUU